GAUGCCAAAAAAAAAAAAAAGAGAAGGACAUGCAAAAGAGAGAAAAGGUAAAGACAAGGGAGGGGAAACUUAAAUGAAAGAGAAGGAGAUAAAAGUAAAAUGUAGGGAAAUUGUAAAGAGGUGACAGGUAAUAGGAUCACAGAGGGUUCAGGGAGGAAUAAGAAGAAGGGAGGGGAAAGGAAGGAAAAAAGAGACAGUCACAGACAGUAAA